GACGUAGGGCGCGAGCGUUGUCCGGAUUUAUUGGGCGUAAAGAGCUCGUAGGCGGCUUGUCGCGUCGACCGUGAAAACUUGGGGCUCAACCCCAAGCCUGCGGUCGAUACGGGCAGACUGGAGGUAUGCAGGGGAGAACGGAAUUCCUGGUGUAGCGGUGAAAUGCGCAGAUAUCAGGAGGAACACCGGUGGCGAAGGCGGGUCUCUGGGCCAUUACUGACGCUGAGGAGCGAAAGCGUGGGGAGCGAACAGG
rnacentral:rRNA from 1 species